rnacentral:lncRNA from 1 species
GUGCGUGCAAAAACAAUACUAAAAAUACAGCAAUAAAAAUAAAAAAGAUUAUUUGAGAAAGGAAGAGAAAAAUCAACAGAACCAUUCUAUUUCCAUGCUAAUUUCUGUAAGAUUAUUUGAGUAUCAAUGAAAUCCCAUCCGUUGACUUACACGACAAUCAACUUGGUAACAAGUUGAUUCUCGGCCAAAUAUGUGGGAGUCCUGAUAUGAAUGAGAUUUGAAGUCUUAAUCACAUGCAACUAAUUAGGAGGCCUCAUUUGGUAAGACUUAUAUAUCAUGUUAAGAAACAUAAUUGAUAUCAUAAGCUAUGGGAUAUUCCUGACUAUUCGAUGAUAGGCAGAUUAGUAGGAAACCCUAGUGAUAUAAAUAUGGAUGUUUCUGCACACAUAGUAUACGUUCUUCUCGAGUGUUGUUUACCCUAUUCAUCAGUAAAGAACAUUCUGAUUGUGUGUGGAGAAAACUUCCUUACCCUAUAACCUUAGCAUCAUGUCUGCUGCUUCAGGGUAGUACUAUAUGGUUUUAUACAUUCAUGCUUAUAACUGUGAUCUUAUGUACUGUUGUGUUUUUUAUUUUCCCUUAUUUCUAACAUGUGGUAUCAGAGCCACCACAACAGUUUUGAGAUUCAGUUUACAAAAUGUUAUGAGUAUUUUUCAAUCAUCAGAUCCUAUAUAAUGCUUCCGCUGCAUGCAUGUAUAUAUUUAAAAAUAUCCUAACUGCAUGAGAUGAAUAGAUCUAUAUGUGCUUCGAUUACUGCUCACUGAAUCAGGAAUAGUUAACGACAUCAGCAAGAUGAAAUGAAUCCUCCAAUCAGUUGCUGUUUGAAGAUAUGCUGUUGAAUAAUAAUAUCAUUAUUUGUCACUUUUCAAUCGAUAAAUAAUUGGCAUUAUGUUAUUCAUGUUGAAAGAAAUCUACAAGUAUUUUCUGCUUAAAAGUGAUUGCUUAUAGAUUUCAUAUUGGUUCGAACAAAAACAAGUGACUUAUGUGCAAUGAUGAGUACCUUAAAAAUUUAUCCAAAAGGAUUUUUGUGAAUGUAUUCAGUUCUGGCACUAAGUUAAUGUAUAAUGGAAUGUGAAACUACAAGGUUUUUAUAGUUCUUAUGCUCAAAAGUGUUGAUCUAUAUAAACAAGUUGCAGUUUUACAUUUUAGUUAUGCAAAAAUUAAUAUGAUCAGUGCCAAUCUAAAGAAUGACACUGGAAUUGUAUGAUUACUGCAAUAAACAGAAGACAUCAUGUUAUAGUUUUCUGUUUUCUGAUGGACAAGAUUAAUAAACCAUAAAGUUUUAUUUGAGCUUCAGGUAUAACUUCUCUCAAUUUCAGCAACAUUGAGACCCUAACUAGUUCAAACUAUAAAAAGUGGAAGCAGGAUAUUGAAAUCAUGUUGGGGCUGAUGGACUUUGACCUGGUCUUAAGGGGAGAUUUUGAUACAUUAUGGACAUGCUAAAGGUUAUUUUAAAACUACUCAUGGUCAAUUGUGAAUUAUUAUGCAAUUUUAUCAUGCUAUGUUAGUAUAUGAUUUUUAUAAUUAAAAAUUCUCACGUCAUUUUGGCAUGACAUGAAAUCAUUGUAAAAUUUAAAAAGGAGAUUAUGCUACUGAAAUUUUCAAAUUUCUGCAACAUUGUCUGUUUGUGAUAUUAUUUUGGUAUACCCAUUCAACUCCUAAAUUCAUGAAAUUUUAGUAUGAUAGAGAUCGAUAUAUCUAGUUUAAAUCUGGAUAUUUGCACGACAAUUGGCUGCAAAAUGAAUUAUUGGUGAAUUUUGUUUUAGUCUCGGGUAUGUAGUUUGGAAUUUCUACAGCUUCUGCAGCACAUUCCGUUUCGACUUUAUUUUUAGCCCACUUAUAAAAUCUCAAAAAUUAUGAAAUUUUGUGAUAUUUCAGCUUUAUGUAUCUACUUCACUUCUGGAAAUUUUCAUAUACAUUGGAUGGAAAAUGAAUGUUUAGUCAAUUUUUCAUCUCAGUUGUACUGCAGAUUUUCUGCACUUUCUGCAGCAUAUCCCAUUUCGAAUUUGCCUCUCGUAUACUUGGCAAACUUUAAAAAAAUAAAUAAAUAAAUAAAUAAAAAUUAUAAACCUUUAGGAAAUAGUAGCAUUGUAUGUCUGCUUUAUGUCUGGAAAUUUUUAUGCACAUUGAAUGAAAAAGGAGUAUUUAGUGAAUUUUUUUAAUCUCAGGCCUGCAUGCAGAUUUUUUUUUGCAGUUUCUGCAGCACAUCUCAUUUCGAAUUCAUUUUUGGCUCGCUUAUAAAAUUUUAACAAUCAUGAAAUUUUGCAAAAUAGUAGCCAUAUAUGUCUAGUGCAUACCUAAAAAUUUUCAUGACGAUCUAAAGAGAAGUGAUUUUUUAGUGAAUUUGGAAACUAAAGUAGUACUGCUGAAUUUUGGUACUUCAAAACUAGUUUUGUUAUGUGAUAUUGUUUUCACUUAUUUGUGCACAUCUAUUGGUACCGAUUAUUAUACAAGUUUAUGAUUCCAAUAUAUCUUUAUGUAAUGUGAAUUCUUAAUACUAAUGACUUUUAUUAGACAACACUGAUUAAAUUAUUGAUUUAAAGAUGUAUUGGUUUGUUUUGCUUAAACCAAUGUUUUGUUUGGUCAUCAAUUCUGAUUAUGAUGAUAAUUGUCUUUUGAAAGAAAAUUGGAAAGUGGCAUCAGUUUACUAAUUGAUCAUUUUGGUCCUUAUCGAAUAACUGAAUAACCAUGUUUCCUCUUUCGAGAACUCUAUUGUUCAAUGUCAAUAACGACAUAUUUUGUGUCUGAUUGAAUCUUUUGAGAAUCAUUGAAUAUCCAACAAAACAGUUAUUUAAUACUGUUCUAAAGGAUUAUUUUGAAAAAUCAGAAUUCUAAUUUAUAUGGUGAAUACUUUUGUCCCAAUGGGAAUUUUAGGAAAUAACUCACCAAUUAUAAAUUAGUAUUAUAGCAAAUCAUAAAGUACUUCUAACAUAUUUUCAUCUGGCCAAAGCUGUUGAAGCUAUAUGUAUUUUGUGUAUUUUAUGUUUUGGCUAGCUAUGCAGGUAUUUUCUUUGCAUGAUUAGUUUCUGCCCAAAGGUGUAACAAUCAUGCAAUUUGGAGUUAAUUCAAUCGUCCACAACUCGACUACAUCCAUGAUGAAUCUUGCAGAAUCGAGAAUGAGUAGGUAAAUUUGCCAAUCUUUUGCCUUAAUAUUCUGUGAGUUCUAAAUUGGAUUAAAAUUAUUGUUGAAAAAUUGAUGUUGUUGAGAUAUCUAUGUGUUUACCUUAAUUCUACUUUGUUUUAGAAUUAAAACAUAAAUUUUGAGUUUGGAUUCUCUUAUUAGGUUUCAUUUUAAUUUAUGACCUAAUCUUUAACACAUAUAUGAGUCUUCUCUCAUACACUAAAAUAAAUUUCAUAGCCAUUUGUUUAUCUAAUCACUUGUCACUUCUAGAUCGAUUAAUAAUGUUGAGAUAUUGUUCCUUAUAUAAGCCUAAUUUUUGAUACAUAUAGAUUGGUUUAUUCUGUCCAAACCAACUAUUUUGUGACUCAACACAAAUUUGUUUAAGAAAUUUUAAUGUUUUGGGCAUAUUAAAGGUUAUUUAUCUAAUGAAAUGAACCUUUAAUUUAUUUAAGAAAUUUUUGUGUUUUGAUCAUAUUAAAGAUUGUAAAUUGGUUUUAUUUAAAUUAUGUUUAAAUGUGAAAUUUUGGUAGAGCUUACACUAUCUUUAUUGAUUCAACUAGCCUAUAUUUUGUUAUAUGAAAACCACUGUCUCUAGUGUUUAAUCUUGCAAUUUUGAGUGUUUGCCCAAGUGGGAGAAAUAAUGUAUUAUGGGCUUCACACUCAUCAAUUUUGCAUGCUUUUAAUGGUAAUAGUUUUGGUAGAUAAAACAUACAUUAUCAUACUUGUUUAUAUUUUAUAUAUGCAACUAAUCUUGCAGGAAAUUCAAGAAGGGUUAAUGAGUAUAUUCUGCUCAAAAGUGUUUUGCUUAUUAAUUCUUCUUUGUUGUUCAAGAAAUUGGACUUGUGAUUUAUAUGUUAUUGAUGGAUAAUUAAUCUGCUCAAAAGUGUUUUCUUAUUCAGUCCAACUAUAAAUCAAUGAACGGUUAAACAUGGAAUUGACAAGAUUGUAUAUACUUCUUCUGCUCAAAAGUGUUGAAACUAUAUACGUUUGCUCUUGUAUUUUAUGUUUUAGCUGUGAAAACCUAAUAUAAUUAGAUUCUGUCCAAAGAUGAUUCUGGAAUUAUAUGUUUUUGUUGCAAUCAGAAAACGUUCCGUUAAAGUUUUCUAUUUCUGUCAAAUGUUAGAUGAACAAAACGGACCAAAUGAUUUUGUAUAGUUUUUCAGUCACAAGAGUCACUUCCCUAAAGAUAUCUGGAAUAAAGAUGUUGAGCUCACAAAUUUUAUGUUUUAGAUCCUAUGACUAAAGCCUUGUCAGUGGGAGUAUUCAAGAAACAUGUUUUUAACAUGGGGAUUAAGGAGACUUUUGAUUCUGUGAAUGAGUGGGAGUAAACUACUCAAAUGUCUCUCCAAGUUUAUUCUGAAUAUUUCGAACUCGUUGUUAAAGGUUUAUUUCCAAACUUAAGAUUUUGUCAUCAUAUCAUUUCCUGAAUAAACAGAAUAUUUUGUUAGUUUCUGUAAUAUUCAAAUUUUAAGAAGUUGAUAUUUAGACUCAUCAACUUAAAAACAUGGUAUUGUCGGAAACAUAGUGCUUUUCGUCUAAGUGUGUGUGAUUAUAGAGUGCAAGUGAAAAAAUGACUUCACUUAGUUUUCUAUAGUCCAGCAUUUGAGAUGAGAGUGACAAGUUGUUUAAGAGGUAUCUGUUGCAAAUUUUGUAAGACUUUAGUGAUCACCGUUUCUAGUCGUAUAAGGAUCGAAUUCAUUGAAACUCAAGUGGGAGAAUGUAAGAUUAUUUGAGUAUCAAUGAAAUCCCAUCCGUUGACUUACACGACAAUCAACUUGGUAACAAGUUGAUUCUCGGCCAAAUAUGUGGGAGUCCUGAUAUGAAUGAGAUUUGAAGUCUUAAUCACAUGCAACUAAUUAGGAGGCCUCAUUUGGUAAGACUUAUAUAUCAUGUUAAGAAACAUAAUUGAUAUCAUAAGCUAUGGGAUAUUCCUGACUAUUCGAUGAUAGGCAGAUUAGUAGGAAACCCUAGUGAUAUAAAUAUGGAUGUUUCUGCACACAUAGUAUACGUUCUUCUCGAGUGUUGUUUACCCUAUUCAUCAGUAAAGAACAUUCUGAUUGUGUGUGGAGAAAACUUCCUUACCCUAUAACCUUAGCAUCAUGUCUGCUGCUUCAGGUUAGUACUAUAUGGUUUUAUACAUUCAUGCUUAUAGUGGCGAAUGAGCACUUUGGUGCCUAUCUACAAGAAUAAGGGCGACGUACAAAAUUGCAUGAACUAUAGGGGUAUUAAGCUAAUGAGUCAUACAAUGAAGCUCUGGGAGAGAGUCAUUGAGCAUAGAUUAAGGCAAGAGACACGGGUUUCGGACAACCAAUUCGGGUUCAUGCCAGGGCGCUCAACCAUGGAGGCAAUCUAU